rnacentral:rRNA from 1 species
CGGAGAGGAAACACCCGUUCCCAUCCCGAACACGGAAGUUAAGCUCUCCAGCGCCGAUGGUAGUUGGGGCCAGCGCCCCUGCAAGAGUAGGUCGUUGCUAGGC